GACGAACGCUGGCGGUGUGCUUAACACAUGCAAGUGGUGCGACGAACCAGGCUUCGGCCUGGGGCAAAGCCGCGAACGGGUGAGUAACACGUGGGUAAUCUGCCCCGAUGACCGGGACAACCCGAGGAAACUCGGGCUAAUACCGGAUGUUGUCCACAGGCAAAAGCCUGUGUACUAAAGGUAGCUUCGGCUUCCGCAUUGGGAGGGGCCCGCGGCCCAUUAGCUUGUUGGUGGGGUCAAGGCCUACCAAGGCAACGAUGGGUAGCUGGUCUGAGAGGACGAUCAGCCACACUGGGACUGAGACACGGCCCAGACUCCUACGGAGGCAGCAGUGGGGAAUCUUGCGCAAUGCGCGAAAGCGUGACGCAGCAACACCGCGUGAGGGAAGACGGCCCUAGGGUUGUAAACCUCUUUCAGAUGGGACGAAGGUUCAGCGGUGAACAGCCGAC
rnacentral:rRNA from 1 species